GAUGUUAAAAUGGCGAAAUCCAACCAAGCUCGGGUAAACGGCGGGAGUAACUAUGACUCUCUUAAGGUAGCCAAAUGCCUCGUCAUCUUAUGUCAAACUGGGCCCUAGUGCCCAAGCGGUCUAAAGCGGCCCAAGCAGUCUAACCAGUUGAGGCUGGGGUCUAAGGGGUGGGUCUUAGGUCUCCCACCCUGGUGAGCCCAGCCGUGAUGCCUCGGUAGCCAGCGUUGUUCACGUAGCCGCCGAACAGGGGGGGGGGGUAAGGAGGACCUUCGGGACCUCCCCAUCCCCUCCUCUAGUAAGUGACUAAUGGGCCCUUGACUCAGCCCCCCUCACGGGGGGAGGGGGAGGGGGCCUGCACCAAAUUGCAUGGAAGGGACCUGUCUGAACCCCCCCGAGCACCUAGUGCAGACGGGGGGCGAGGGUCCCCGACAAGCAGCCAAGCCGAGGUACGACUCCAGACAAGGGAAGCUCCGAGAGGCAGCCCGGGUCGAGGGGGUGGGUAGUACUGAGGAAGGUUCAGAGACUGAAAGGUGCUCUGGGUUGGGCUUUGGGGGUCUCGAGCCGGUGGACACCAGGGGGUUUACUCCCCUCCCUACCGUCCGUUGGUUCCCCAAGGUCAACAGCCCUAGCUGAUACAGUCCAUCGCCAGAGGGGGAAAAGCUGUAUAAGCGGGUGGCUUGCGCCUCCUUCGGGAGGAAGAGCAUUGGCCAGUGGCUCGGUUGCUUUGUACCCUUCGCCAAAGAUGUUAAUUUGUGACGCGCAUGAAUGGAUUAAUGAGAUUCCCACUGUCCCUACCUACUAUCUAGCGAAACCACAGCCAAGGGAACGGGCUUGGCCCAAUUAGCGGGGAAAGAAGACCCUGUUGAGCUUGACUCUAGGCACAGAAGCGAGGUGAUUCUAAAGGUGUAGCAUAGGUGGGAGGGCCUGGCCCGACCUUGAAAUACCACCACUUUCGACAUCGCUUUGCUAAUGCUGUAACGAAUGGACGGCCCCCCGAUGACUCGGUUGCCUCCGGGCGGCCGACCAACGGGUAAGGCUUCUUUCUGGUGAUUUCCCGGUCUGAUACGGUGGUUUGGCCCCUCUGGGAUAGUACCUCGAGACCAUGAGUUGGGCUUCCGAGCCCGGCGAGUGUUGUUUUGGGGGAACCAGCGACGGUUGAGCUGUCCUCUGUCGGACCUCGUAGGGUACAUAAGCCGUGUAGCAAACCAUCUGUGUUGGGGAGUUUGGCUGGGGCGGAAAACUGCUACACGGCAACGGCAGUCUCCUAAGGUCCACUCAGAGACGACAGAAACGUCUCGUAGAGCAUAAAGGCAAAAGUGGGCUUAACUUACAUUUUCAGUAGUAAUGUGAAGCAAGAAAUUGAGGCUUAACGAUCCUUAGCGUCGGGUGCCAGCCCGCGCUUGAGGUGAGAGAAAAGUUACCACAGGGAUUGAUUUUCAUGUCGGUGGUCCCAGAGACCACCGAGGCCGUCUUGAUCCAGCGUCCACCAAGCCUUUUGCCGAAAGCCUUCCGAGCCAACAGGAGCACCUUCUACGCCCCCCCCCCCCGACUAAGCCGCCAGCCAACUGACCAGCCGCCAACAACCGGACCCCUUGUUAAGUAGUAACCUUCAGCCGCUCUCGAGCCACUGGGAGCAAACAGGUGAACCUCAAGGGGACGUUUGGUGGUUGCUGGGAGGGAGGAUUUUGGGCCCAAUGGGGAGGGGUCAAAAGGUAUACAAGCCUCCCCAGUAGCGAGCGAACCAGGGACCUUCUACGCCCCCCCCCCCCGACUAAGCCACCAGCCACCUGACCAGUAGCCAACGACCAGACCCUCGUGAAGUAGUACCCUUCAGCCCCUCCCGAUUCACUGGGAGCUAACGAAGGCGAACCUCAAGGGGACGGUUGGAGGUUGCUGGGAGGGAGGAUUUUGGGUGCACGGGGGAGGGGUCAAAAGGUAUACACCCCCCAGUAGCGAAGGCACAAGGAGCCUGGGUCUCACGGCCCGGCGUUCUCAAGUCUCGAUGUCUUCAACGGUAGGUAAUUGGCCUGCCGCGGUAGCACUGACAGGCGACAUACCUCGAUGCGAGAAAAACCCAUACCAAAUGGCGGUAGUACCAGGCUCUCCCAGUAACACUGGGAGCCCAUGUCGAUGAACCUCCAACCUUCGAAAGCUUCGUCUUCCAACCUCCGGGCGGGAAUUCAGGGUCAGUAGGGGGCCAGGGGGGGAGACCUUGGUAAUAACCUACCGUCAGGGUUCACUCGCAGGCAACAAGGCUCAUCCAACCCUCACAGGCAACGCCAUUGUAGUACGCGGCCAACAGAGGUGUCUGAUCGGUGGGCUACGUGUCUCAAAGACUGCAAAGGUAUGGGCUAAGCGAUCGCCUAAACGACCCCUCCCCAGGGGCGCGAUGGGCGGGAGUGCAGCUUAAGGUACAGUCUACUCCUGCCCGCAAGGGAUUCCAGCGAGAGGAGGGCCGGGGGAGGACCAACCAACCCCCUCGGACCACCGUGCCUUGCCUCUUAGGAGGCGGGGUCCUGGAGGGGCACAUGUGCCUCGGGUGCAACCAAACUGGAACUGGCUUGUGGCCGCCAAGCGUUCAUAGCGACGUGGCUUUUUGAUCCUUCGAUGUCGGCUCUUCC
rnacentral:rRNA from 1 species